GAUGAACGCUGGCGGCGUGCCUAACACAUGCAAGUCGAACGAAGCACAUACGACGGAACUCUUCGGAGGGAAGAUGUAUGUGACUGAGUGGCGGACGGGUGAGUAACGCGUGGGUAACCUGCCCUAUACAGGGGGACAACAGUUGGAAACGACUGCUAAUACCGCAUAAGCGCACGGUAUCGCAUGAUACGGUGUGAAAAACUCCGGUGGUACAAGAUGGACCCGCGUCUGAUUAGCUUGUUGGUGAGGUAACGGCCCACCAAGGCGACGAUCAGUAGCCGGCCUGAGAGGGUGAACGGCCACAUUGGGACUGAGACACGGCCCAAACUCCUACGGGAGGCAGCAGUGGGGAAUAUUGCACAAUGGACGAGAGUCUGAACCAGCCAAGUAGCGUGCAGGAUGACGGCCCUAUGGGUUGUAAACUGCUUUUAUAAGGGAAUAAAGUGGGAGUCGUGACUCUUUUUGCAUGUACCUUAUGAAUAAGGACCGGCUAAUUCCGUG
rnacentral:rRNA from 1 species